UAAUUGGUUGAACCUAAUUCACAGUUAGAACCCCAGCUGCAAGUGAGACUGGAAAAAUGGCUCUCAGAGUUCCCGCCUCUGCAGUAGAGGAAGACACUCCAGAAGGAGUUGAGAAUGGGUGCUGAGUGCCUCUUCAGGAUGUCUGUCACACCUCAGGAAACCUGCCAGGAAUACCAAAGGGAGUGAAAAAUCCAAGGUUGGGAAGCCCUGGGACAUUGAAGUUACAACUGGACGAUAAAAACAGAGUUUUUUCCUUGUGACGUGACCACUGUGAUGUAAAGCUGUAUCUCCUUCAUUUCAUCAAGAAAUUCUUAAAAUUCUCCCCCAACGUGCUUUCAUCUUUCCCUUCAUUGCCAACUCUGUAAGAAGUACCACGCCUUUUCUUUGAAUCUGAUUCUCCUCCAAGAAGCAAUGCUUCUCUGAGGCUUUCACCUUUGCUCACAUCAAAGCCCCCACACUGAAUAAAUACCAUCCUUACAUGCCCUUCCAGAGACUCCACUAAUGGACGAGCUUCAUCCAGCAAAAGAUAACUGGGGAAACUUCAGCAAAAGGACUGUUGAUGAAAAUUUGCUGUAUUUGAUUAUAUAGCUAAGACUAAAACAGGGAACAUGGUUGGAAUUAUACUAAGUAAAUAUGAUAUGUUCUCACAAAGUAGAAAGAAUGCAACUAACUAAUAUAGAAGAAGAGGGAAAGUAAAAUAGUAUUGUUUACAAUUUUAUCAGAGGUAUCAUAAAAGAUACAAAUUCAGAGGUAUUGAAAUACUUAUGCAUCAAAACAACUAUGGCAAAAUUUUACUGAUUCAGUAUUAUGCCUAUGAAAAUUAUUCAGUUCAGUGAUUUGGAGAAGAGGGUAAAGAAAUGUUUACACAUCAGAAUCUGUGGAGGGGAGAAUGUGUGUCUGGA
rnacentral:lncRNA from 1 species